rnacentral:lncRNA from 1 species
GACAUAAAAAUGGUCGCUCGGCCAUGAAAACGUGUGCUAUAGCUCACGGGAGGCCAAAACAGCCUUACCAGUCUCAAUGGUCAAAUCAUGGGUGGCGGACGGGAGGCACGAAAUCGCUGUUCGACGACAAAAACAUGUGUCACGGGAGGCCCUAAAACCUAAACCCUAAACCCUACAGCUCGUGGGAGGCCAAGAACAACUUUAAGGUGCUCUAGGGACCAAAACACGGGUGGUGGAACACGUACUUAAAAAUGGUCGCUCGACCAUGAAAACGUGUGCUAUAGCUCACUUGUGGCAAAAAAUGUCGUAACGGCCUCUCCGGUCUAAAACGUAGGUGGCAGGUCGGAUACAUGAAAUUGACACUUUGGCCACAGAAACGUGUGCUACAGCUCGUGGGAGGCCAAGAACAACUUUAAGGUGCUCUGGGGACCAAAACGCGGGUGGUGGAACACGUACUUAAAAAUGGUCGCUCGACCAUGAAAACAUGUGCUAUAGCUUAUGGGAGGCCAUAAACAUCCUUAGCAGUCUCAGUGGCCAAAUCAUGGGUGGUGGACGGGAGGCAUGAAAUCGUUGUUUGAUGAUGAAAACAUGUGUCACGGGAGGCCAAAAAUAGCCUUACGGGUCUUCGGGGACCAAAACGUGUACUAUGGUUUGGACACUAAAAUUCUACUAUGUCAGCAAAGUUGAUAUGGUUGGGAGACUCAAAUUUCAUUUUACCAUGGUUUCGACACUAAAAUCCUUUAGUGUCGAUGUUUAGGUUUAGGGUUUAGGGAUAGGAUUUUAGGGUCUAGGUUUCCAUAAAAUCGUGUGCUAGCUCACGGGUGGCAAAAAAAUGCCAUAACAGCCUCCCUAGUCUAAAACGAAGGUGGCAAGUCGGAUACAUAAAAUUGGCUGUUUGGCCACGGAAAUGUGUGAUAUAGCUCGCGGGAGGCCAAGAACCGCUUUACGGUGCUCCGGGGAAAAAAACACGUGUGGCGGAACGCGGACAUAAAAAUGGUCGCUGGGCCAUGAAAACGUGUGCUAUAGCUCACGGGAGGCCGAAACAGCCUUACCAGUCUCGAUGGUCAAAUCAUGGGUGGCGGACGGGAGGCACGAAAUCGUUGUUCGACGACAAAAACAUGUGUCACAGGAGGCCCUAAAACCUAUACCCUAAACCCUACAGCUCGUGGGAGGCCAAGAACAACUUUAAGGUGCUCUGGGGACGAAAACGCGAUUUCGUGUCUCCCGUAUCAGCAAACUUUAAGGUGCUCUGGGUGGUGGAACACGUACUUAAAAAUGGUCGCUCGACCAUGAAAACGUGUGCUAUAGCUCACUUGUGGCAAAAAAUGUCCUAACGGCCUCUCCGGUCUAAAACGUAGGUGGCAGGUCGUAUACAUGAAAUUAGCACAUUGGCCACGAAAACGUGUGCUACAGCUCGUGGGAGGCCAAGGACAACUUUAAGGUGCUCUGGGGACCAAAACGUGGGUGGUGGAACACGUACUUAAAAAUGGUCGCUCGACCAUGAAAACGUGUGCUAUAGCUUACGGGAGGCCAUAAACAGCCUUAGCAGUCUCAGUGGCCAAAUCAUGGGUGGCGGACGGGAGGCAUGGAAUCGUUGUUUGUUGAUGAAAACAUGUGUCACGGGAGGCCAAAAAUAGCCUUACCGGUCUCCAGGGACCAAAACGUGUACUAUGGUUUGGACACUAAAAUUCUACUAUGUCAGCAAAGUUGAUAUGGUUGGGAGACUCAAAUUUCAUUUUACCAUGGUUUCAACACUAAAAUCCUUUAGUGUCGAUGUUUAGGUUUAGGGUUUAGGGAUAGGAUUUAGGGUCUAGGUUUCCAUAAAACCGUGUGCUAUAGCUCACGGGUGGCAAAAAAUGCCAUAAUGGCCUCCCCGGUCUAAAACGAAGGUGGCAUGUCGGAUACAUAAAAUUGGCUGUUUGGCCACGGAAAUGUGUGCUAUAGCUCAAGGGAGGCCAAGAACUGCUUUAAGGUGCUCCGGGGACAAAAACACGUGUGGCGGAACGCGAAAAUAAAAAUGGUCGCUCGGCCAUGAAAACGUGUGCUAUAGCUCACGGGAGGCCAAAACAGCCUUACUAGUCUCAAUGGUCAAAUCAUGGGUGGCGGACGGGAGGCACAAAAUCGCUGUUCGACGACAAAAACAUGUGUCACGGGAGGCCAAAAUAGCCUUACGGACCUCCGGGGACUAAAACGUGUACUUUGGUUUGGACACUAAAAUUCUACCAUGCUUGUAAGCUUACUAUGGUUUGGAGAGCCUGUAAGCUUACUAUGGUUUGGAGACUCAAACUUCAUUUUACUAUGGUUUGGACACUAAAACCUUUUUGUUUCGGUGUUUAAGGUUAGGGUUUAGGGAUUGGAUUCGGGGUCUAGGUUACCAUAAAACGUGUGCUAUAGCUCACUUGUGGCAAAAAAUGUCGGAACGGCCUCUCCGGUCUAAAACGUAGGUGGUAGGUCGGAUACAUGAAAUUGGCUCUUUGGCCAUGGAAAUGUGUGCUACAGCUCGUGGGAGGCCAAGAACAACAUUAAGGUACUCUGGGGACCAAAACGCGGGUGGUGGAACACGUACAUAAAAAUGGUUGCUCGAUCAUGAAAACGUGUGCUAUAGCUUACGGGAGGCAAUAAACAGCCUUAGCAGUCUCAGUGGCCAAAUCAUGGGUGGCGGAUGGGAGGCAUGAAACCGUUGUUUGACGAUGAAAACAUGUGUCAUGGGAGGCCAAAAAUAGCCUUACCGGCCUCCGGGGACCAAAACGUGUACUAUGGUUUGGACACUAAAAUUCUACUAUGUCAGCAAAGUUGAUAUGGUUGGGAGACUCAGAUUUCAUUUUACCAUGGUUUGGACACUAAAAUCCUUUAGUGUCAAUGUUUAGGUUUAGGUUUAAGGAUAGGAUUUAGGGUCUAGGUUUCCAUGAAAUCGUGUGCUAUAGCUCACGGGUGGCAAAAAAAUGCCAUAACGGCCUCCCCGGUCUAAAACGAAGGUGGCAGGUCGGAUACAUAAAAUUGGCUGUUCGGCCACGGAAAUGUGUGAUAUAGCUCGCGGGAGGCCAAGAACCACAUUAAGGUGCUCCGGGGACAAAAACACGUGUGGCGAAAUGAGGACAUAAAAAUGGUCGCUGGGCCAUGAAAACGUGUGCUAUAGCUCACGGGAGGCCAAAACAGCCUUACCAGUCUCAAUGGUCAAAUCAUGGGUGGCGGACUGGAGGCACGAAAUCGCUGUUCGACGACAAAAACAUGUGUCACGGGAGGCCCUAAAACCUAAACCCUAAACCCUACAGCUCGUGGGAGGCCAAGAACAACUUUAAGGUGCUCUAGGGACCAAAACACGGGUGGUGGAACACGUACUUAAAAAUGGUCGCUCGACCAUGAAAACGUGUGUUAUAGCUCACUUGUGGCAAAAAAUGUCGUAACGGCCUCUCCGGUCUAAAACGUAGGUGGCAGGUCGUAUACAUGAAAUUGGCACUUUGGCCACAGAAAAGUGUGCUACAGCUCGUGGGAGGCCAAGAACAACUUUAAGGUGCUCUGGGGACCAAAACGCGGGUGGUGGAACACGUACUUAAAAAUGGUCGCUCGACCAUGAAAACAUGUGCUAUAGCUUAUGGGAGGCCAUAAACAUCCUUAGCAGUCUCAGUGGCCAAAUCAUGGGUGGUGGACGGGAGGCAUGAAAUCGUUGUUUGAUGAUGAAAACAUGUGUCACGGGAGGCCAAAAAUAGCCUUACGGGUCUCCGGGGACCAAAACGUGUACUAUGGUUUGGACACUAAAAUUCUACUAUGUCAGCAAAGUUGAUAUGGUUGGGAGACUCAAAUUUCAUUUUACCAUGGUUUCGACACUAAAAUCCUUUAGUGUCGAUGUUUAGGUUUAGGGUUUAGGGAUAGGAUUUAGGGUCUAGGCUUCCAUAAAAUCGUGUGCUAUAGCUCACGGGUGGCAAAAAAAUGCCAUAACAGCCUCCCUAGUCUAAAACGAAGGUGGCAAGUCGGAUACAUAAAAUUGGCUGUUUGGCCACAGAAAUGUGUGAUAUAGCUCGCGGGAGGCCAAGAACCGCUUUACGGUGCUCCGGGGAAAAAAACACGUGUGGCGGAACGCGGACAUAAAAAUGGUCGCUGGGCCAUGAAAACGUGUGCUAUAGCUCACGGGAGGCCGAAACAGCCUUACCAGUCUCGAUGGUCAAAUCAUGGGUGGCGGACGGGAGGCACGAAAUCGCUGUUCGACGACAAAAACAUGUGUCAUAGGAGGCCCUAAAACCUAUACCCUAAACCCUACAGCUCGUGGGAGGCCAAGAACAACUUUAAG